AUUGAACGCUGGCGGCAGGCUUAACACAUGCAAGUCGAGCGGGGAAAGGUAGCUUGCUACCUGACCUAGCGGCGGACGGGUGAGUAAUGCUUAGGAAUCUGCCUAUUAGUGGGGGACAACAUCUCGAAAGGGAUGCUAAUACCGCAUACGUCCUACGGGAGAAAGCCGGGGACCUUCGGGCCUUGCGCUAAUAGAUGAGCCUAAGUCGGAUUAGCUAGUUGGUGGGGUAAAGGCCUACCAAGGCGACGAUCUGUAGCGGGUCUGAGAGGAUGAUCCGCCACACUGGGACUGAGACACGGCCCAGACUCCUACGGGAGGCAGCAGUGGGGAAUAUUGGACAAUGGGGGGAACCCUGAUCCAGCCAUGCCGCGUGUGUGAAGAAGGCCUUUUGGUUGUAAAGCACUUUAAGCGAGGAGGAGGCUACCGAGAUUAAUACUCUUGGAUAGUGGACGUUACUCGCAGAAUAAGCACCGGCUAACUCUGUG
rnacentral:rRNA from 1 species